CAGUGGUUGCACUCAAGAGCACAAUAAAAGACCUUCAUAUCUAACCGUUCCUUCCCUGCGACCACAGAUCCAUUAUGUCAGUUAUGCUUGGCAUAGUAUCCACAAACCAAUCUUUUCUGGGUCAUCCAGUAUUAAAUCAAAGCUUGUUAAGGUCCCCUUUUUAGCAUUUUUAUAUUUCCCCCUUGGGCCAGAGGCUUAGAAUUUAUUUGCCUUCAUCUGUAAUGAGGAUGUGACUUUUUUUUCAGGCCAGCUGGAAGCCACCCAUAAGACCACAGAAGCAUGGGCAGGAAAUUGGACACCCUGCAUAAUGGCAGUCUGAGGUCCCCAAGGCCUAAUUUGUCAGCCUGCAUGGCGAUCUCUUUCGGAAACGUGAGAUUAUAGGUCUAAAUAAAAAUAAAAACAAGUCACAGUCUAACAUGAUAACCCAAACGAUAACAUGCCAGCUAAUUAUUGGGAGUGAAGUUCCAGACAGCUAAAAAACAAACAAAGAAGGCCAUUCAUUCGAUCCGACCCAGAAGCAGAAGGUUUUCUUCUUUCUUUUUUAAAGACAAAGGUGACUCAAUCUAAAGAGGAAAUAUCGACAACGACAUAUGUAUGAAUGUACAUAGAAAGAAAAGCAAACUGAAAAAAAUGAGUUAUGAAAUGGGGACCUGUUUUCCAAAGGAUUCACACUGUGGAUUCCUGCUCUGCUAACAAAGCCCAUAUUGACUCUACAGUGCUCUGCAGUGUACCUUACAGUGAAAGAAAGGUGGCUUCAGGACAUUACUUUAAACGCUGACGUCGAAAGUGUUGGAUCGAGAGCAAUUAGGUCUUUUUUGUUUGAGACCUCACAGACAGAAGGGCUGGCGGAUGUUGUCUAAAGAGUCACCCACCAAGAUCAGAGAGUCUUCGCACGGACCCUUGUUUAUUCAACUGUAGCUUGUCUUCCUGGGUUCAACCAGACCCUCCUCAGCAUUAUGGGGCAGCCAGGAGGUGGGGAUACCACCACGAACAGCACAGCUGGCUGGCAGUGGCAAGGUUCAGACGGCCCUGUUUUUCCACUGUUUCCUCUCCAGGCUGCUACCAACGAAGCUCAUCUCCUUUCCAGAAAAAACAAAGCUGAGCUGCAUUCCCAGAGUUCAAUUUGCUGUUACAACGGAGGCCUGUGGAUUGGGGUUUGAGAUGUGUCUCUCAACCAGGGAGGUGCGUGGUUGGUUAUGUGCACCCUCAGGAACCCAUUUAAAGUUCA
rnacentral:lncRNA from 1 species